rnacentral:tRNA from 1 species
GCGCCCGUAGCUCAGCAGGAUAGAGCAACGGACUUCUAAUCCGUAGGUCGCAGGUUCGAGUCCUGCCGGGCGCGCCA